UCCAGUCCCCCCUCAACAGCCCAACUCCAGUCCCCCCUCAACAGCCCAACUCCUGUCCCCCUCAACAGCCCAACUCCACUCAUCCAGUCCCCCUCAACAGCCCAACUCCAGUCCCCCACAACAGCCCAACUCCAGUCCCCCCACAACAGCCCAACUCCAGUCCCCCCACAACAGCCCAACUCCAGUCCCCCCACAACAGCCCAACUCCAGUCCCCCCACAACAGCCCAACUCCAGUCCCCCCACAACAGCCCAACUCCAGUCCCCCCACAACAGCCCAACUCCAGUCCCCCCACAACAGCCCAACUCCAGUCCCCCACAACAGCCCAACUCCAGUCCCCCUCAACAGCCCAACUCCAGUCCUCCAGUCCCCCCACAACAGCCCAACUCCAGUCCCCCUCAACAGCCCAACUCCAGUCCCCCAGUCCCCCCACAACAGCCCAACUCCAGUCCCCCUCAACAGCCCAACUCCAGUCCUCCAGUCCCCCCAACAGCCCAACUCCAGUCCUCCAGUCCCCCCAACAGCCCAACUCCAGUCCUCCAGUCCCCCCAACAGCCCAACUCCAGUCCUCCAGUCCCCCUCCAGUUCCCCUCAACAGCCCUCCUCCAGUUCCCCUCAACAGCCCUCCUCCAGUUCCCCUCAACAGCCCUCCUCCAGUUCCCCUCAACAGCCCUCCUCCAGUUCCCCUCAACAGCCCUCCUCCAGUUCCCCACCUCAACAGCCCUCCUCCAGUUCCCCACCUCAACAGCCCUCCUCCAGUUCCCCUCAACAGCCCUCCUCCAGUUCCCCUCAACAGCCCUCCUCCAGUACUCCAGUCCUCCCACCCCACUGACAUCUCCACUUCUAUCAACGACCUGGGGAAUGGUUACAGGAUUGGGGCGGAUGGUCAUACCGGUAUUAUACGGUAUUACCAGAAGUGGACACAAGGGGCGCUAUUUGAAAUAUAUAUAUAUAUAUUGGGGGGGGGGGUUGACACGCAAAACAAAUUGGGCAAUAGGGAUUUAGAUCCAGGAGAGGAUUGGAUGUCUCUAGUCUGGGUAACAGUCUCUUUAGCCAACGUUCCACUCCUUGCCACUCCAUGUCAUCGCCAAAGAGACUGGCCAAUCAGCUAUCUCAACGCUCAAUAUGCAGCUGGAUCUAUGGCGGAGUUGCUCAUUGGUUGUUGGAAAUAA
rnacentral:lncRNA from 1 species